ACUUGAGUCUGAGGGAGGCUCUGCUCUAAAGGAAAGCUUUUCUACCGUAACAGCUGCACAGGGACAGAGGACCUGGAAGUCAUCUGAUUGGCCGAACAUUCCUGCCACCCCACCCAACUCCCAGCAGUAAGCAAAGCCAGAAAUGAGAAUCACGCCCUUAUUAACCUACCUUGUCUCUGCUCCUUAAAAACCUACACAGGUCUUCCUGCCUCAGAGACUUUGAAUUUAGGGUGGUGGGGGCUCGGAAUGCUGUUUCCCGGGUAGUCUGUGGGGAAACCCAUCCCAUCAGAGAUCUUUCAGUCAGUGUGUCAUCUCUCUGGAAGAACUCCUGUUACCAUCUUUGGCUCAGCCUCUCCAAGGCCCCCAACGCAGCCUCUUGUUUGUCACCCACAACAGCACAUCACUAACGAUUUAACUUCUAGUGCCUUGAGUUUUAACUUUGCCAUGAUGAUAAUGGAAUGAUGCUCUGAAACUAUAAGCCACCCCAAUUAAAUGCCUUCCUUUAUAAGAGUUGCCUCUUUUCACAGCAAAGGAAACCCUAAUGAAGACAAAAUUUGGUACCAGGAGUGGGGUAUUGCUGUGCGAGGCCUGACGAUGCUUUUGUUUGGAGGAAUGUGGAUUUGGGAACUUUGGAUUAGGAAAGCAGUUGAACUUUUUAAGUGGGGCUUAAUGCACCAUCCUAGAAGGAGCAUGGAAGACAGGUGCGCUGAGAAUGAUUUGAAUUUGGGGGCCUGGCUCAAGAGGUUUCAGAGAAGAAUUUUAGUAUGUGGUCUAGAGACUGUUAUUAUGAUAUCUUGUCAAAGAAUAUAGCUGCCUUUUCUCCUUUUCUGAAAAGUCUGCCUGAGGCUAAACUGAAGAGUUUUGGUUAGUUAAGUUGGCAGAGGAAAUUUCAAAACAUCCUAGUCUUGACUCUGUCCUGUGGUUAUUACUGUUCACUCUUAUGAAGAUCUGUAAUGAAAAAGAGCAAGCUGAGCAAAGACAGCUACAAAAUGUGCAGUAUGUGGGGAAGAGAGGAACCAGGAAGUGGAACGAAGUGAAGUCCUACGCUUAAGGAGAUAAACAGAGUAAAGAAAAACCUGAUGUUAAAUGAAAUAAAGGCAAGGCCC
rnacentral:lncRNA from 1 species